CCUACGGGGGGCAGCAGUGGGGAAUAUUGGACAAUGGGCGAAAGCCUGAUCCAGCCAUGCCGCGUGUGUGAAGAAGGCCUUCGGGUUGUAAAGCACUUUCAGUGGGGAAGAAAGCCUUGGGGCUAAUACCCUCGAGGAAGGACAUCACCCACAGAAGAAGCACCGGCUAACUCCGUGCCAGCAGCCGCGGUAAUACGGAGGGUGCGAGCGUUAAUCGGAAUUACUGGGCGUAAAGCGCGCGUAGGCGGUCUGAUAAGCCGGUUGUGAAAGCCCCGGGCUCAACCUGGGAACGGCAUCCGGAACUGUCAGGCUAGAGGGCAGGAGAGGAAGGUAGAAUUCCCGGUGUAGCGGUGAAAUGCGUAGAGAUCGGGAGGAAUACCAGUGGCGAAGGCGGCCUUCUGGACUGACACUGACGCUGAGGUGCGAAAGCGUGGGUAGCAAACAGGAUUAGAUACCCCGGUAGUC
rnacentral:rRNA from 1 species